rnacentral:tRNA from 1 species
ACCCCCAUCGUCUAGAGGCUCAGGACAUUUCCUUUUCGAGGAAAGAACAGGGAUUCAAAUUCCCUUAGGGGUA